AAAGGGGCUUCGGCCCUGAGUAGAGUGGCAAACGGGUGAGUAACACGUGGGUGACCUGCCUUCGAGUGGGGGAUAACGUCCCGAAAGGGACGCUAAUACCGCAUGACAUCCUGCCUUUGGACAGGCGGAGAUCAAAGCUGGGGAUCGCAAGACCUGGCGCUUGAAGAGGGGCCCGCGCCUGAUUAGCUAGUUGGUGGGGUAAUGGCUCACCAAGGCGACGAUCAGUAUCCGGCCUGAGAGGGCGGACGGACACACUGGGACUGAGACACGGCCCAGACUCCUACGGGAGGCAGCAGUGGGGAAUUGUUCGCAAUGGGCGCAAGCCUGACGACGCAACGCCGCGUGGAGGAUGAAGAUCUUCGGGUCGUAAACUCCUGUCGAGCGGGAAGAACACCUUCCGGGUGAAUAUCCUGGAGGGCUGACGGUACCGCUAAAGGAAGCCCCGGCUAACUCCGUGCCAGCAGCCGCGGUAAUACGGGGGGGGCAAGCGUUGUUCGGAAUUACUGGGCGUAAAGGGCUCGUAGGCGGCCAACUAAGUCAGACGUGAAAUCCCCAGGCUCAACCUGGGAACUGCGUCUGAUACUGAUUGGCUUGAAUCCGGGAGAGGGAUGCAGAAUUCCAGGUGUAGCGGUGAAAUGCGUAGAUAUCUGGAGGAAUACCGGUGGCGAAGGCGGCAUCCUGGACCGGCAUUGACGCUGAGGAGCGAAAGCCAGGGGAGCAAACGGGAUUAGAUACCCCGGUAGUCCUGGCCCUAAACGAUGAAUGCUUGGUGUGACGGGUAUCGAUCCCUGUCGUG
rnacentral:rRNA from 1 species